GCUUGUCUCAAAGAUUAAGCCAUGCAUGUCUAAGUACAUGCCGUAUUAAGGCGAAACCGCGAAUGGCUCAUUAAAUCAGUUACGGUUCCUUAGAUGUUGACUAUCUACAUGGAUAACUGUGGUAAUUCUAGAGCUAAUACAUGCACAAAAGCUUCGACCUUAGCAGGAAGAAGCGCAUUUAUUAGACCAAGACCAAUGGGGCUGUUCUUACGGGCAGCUCCUCCUAUGUGGUGACUCUGGAUAACUAUUGCUGAUCGCAUGGCCUACGAGCCGGCGACGAAUCUUUCAAGUGUCUGCCUUAUCAACUGUCGAUGGUAGGUUAUGCGCCUACCAUGGUUGUAACGGGUAACGGGGAAUCAGGGUUCGAUUCCGGAGAGGGAGCCUGAGAAACGGCUACCACAUCCAAGGAAGGCAGCAGG
rnacentral:rRNA from 1 species